rnacentral:rRNA from 1 species
GAGCACGUAGGUGGGUUUGUAAGUCAGAUGUGAAAGCCUCCUGUUCAACGGGAGAAUUGCAUCUGAAACUACUGAUCUUGAGUGUAGGAGGGGAGAAUGGGACUUCUGGGGGAGCGGUGAAAUGCGUAGAUAUCAGAAGGAACGCCGGCGGCAAAAGCAAUUCUCUGGCCUAUUACUGACACUCAGUGUGCGAAAGCUAGGGGAGCAAACGGGAUUAGAUACCCCGGUAGUCCUAGCCGAAAACGAGGGGCACUAAGUGGAGGGGUUUUU